rnacentral:lncRNA from 1 species
AUGUCCUCAAAAAACUCCAAAUCAGACCCAGGGCCUCCUCGACCAAUUUCAAAAUUCCAGCACGGUGGCUCUACCGUGCUCCGGUGACGGUGGCUCCGCUGUGCUCCGGCGACGGCGCCGUCGUCCACGACGGCGAUCCACCUCGAGUUGGCUAUUUUCAGCCGUUUCCGACCGAAUUCAGCCAAACUAACACCAGUUCCUGCGAGGAAACACAACUAGGACCCUUGGUGGGCCAAAAAAAUACAAAAAACCGAGACUUACCGGCGGCGUAGCUCUCGAGUGCGACGGCUCCUCCGGCGUGAGUCACGAUUUGGCAUUUUGCUCCGGUCAACCUGUAGAGGAAAGGACGGUGGUCACAGUGGUGUAAAAAUUGCAUCGAAUGGGAAUCGGGAAGGGCCUCAUCGGAGGCAAAAACUGAAAAAAUCUGUGGUGGCACCGCUGGGCUUCGGCGACGUUUUUCGGCCAAUUAGCCG